UUACAGACAAUAGAUCAGAUCAUGGCCAGUACGACUACGGCAUCAGUGGGGGGUGCGGUGGAUGAACCAAUAGCAAUGGCACUAGAUUUGCCUGAUGUGGAGGCCGAUCAAGAUCAGGGAAAUACAAGAGAACAAGGAUGCCAGAUGGACUGGGUACCGAUUGGGACAGCACCAACGGCAAUGACUAGUAGCAAGAGCACCCAAACUGGGAAAAUACAUCAUAGAUCAAAGGACACCAGGUGACCCCAGAGAUCCUCGAGAGGGUUAGAGCUCGGCCGGUUAGUGAAGUCCCAUUGUCAAGUGCAGCAGCUCCAUCUGACAGCCCUGAGAUGCAGCCCAACAUAGCAUCUCCAGGUGCGUCUGGAAUGCAAGCCAAGUUAGGACCACCUCCUGCAUUGUUUGAUGAAGGACCAGCAUCAAGUCCCGCUGCGCCUUCUGUUAGUGGUUCUUCCGAUGUCAGCUAUGUGCCAAGUGGGUCAUCGACAUCAGAUCCGUGUCAAUCUGACAGGUCGCCAGAUCCCACACGUACUCCCAAGAUGCGGGAAGAGGGCUGCCACAAAGAACCGAAGUACAUUAUCUUUGAGUCGUGCCUCCAGAGUCUCGUCAAGUGGUGUCACUGUCCAGCCUGUGGCAGCCAGGACAUAAGCCCUUCUUGGGAUUCGAACAGUACACAGCUGAUCAUGACCAUACAAUGUGCAUCAUGUGACCAGAGAAGUAGGCGGAGCAGCCAGCCAAACAUUGGCCCUUAUGCCGCGGGCAACAUCCUGCUAUCUGCUUGCAUCCUCUUCGCUGGCGCAUCUUCUGGCAUGGUGUUGCAUCGGCGUGGUCACAUAUGUGAAGAGAACAUUUUUUAACCACCACGAGCUCAUCCUGCAGCCAGCCAUCAAAAAGGUGUGGGAGGAACAGCAACAGACGCACCUCACCAUGCUGCAGGUGGAAGGCCAACCCCUGGUCCUUGGUUGUGAUGGGCGAGCAGACAGUCCAAGACACAGUGCCAAGUUCGGUACCUACACCACAAUGGAGCUUGAGGCCAAUGUGGUUCUCGGCCCUCAGGUUGUACAGAGCAACUAAUGUCAUGGCAGCUACCAUAUGGAGAUGGAAGGACUGAAGAGGAUGGUGGAGCUGCUGAUCAGCAGGUACCUGAAUGUCGGGGUACUGGUGACAGACAGACACAGACAGAUCGCUAAAUGGAUUCGUGAAAACAUGCCCAAUACACGGCACUGCUAUGACUUCUGGCAUGUUGGAAAAUCCAUCGGGAAGAAACUUAAGCUCAAGGACUGUGAAGACAUGAAGCCCUGGGUGCUAAGUAUAAUUAACCACCUCUACUGGGCAGCAGCGUCUACACCGCCUGGAGAGGAGGAACUUCUGGUUGCCAAGUGGAAGUCUGUGGAGCGACACAUUUAGAACAUCCACAAGGACUAUGGCCACCUCUUCCCAAUUUGUGCUUAUGGACAACUGCACGGUAGAAGUAUGCAAAAGAAAUGGCUCAAACCAAGUUCACGCUCAGCAGUGAAACUGGAGGAGGUUGUCAACAACAAGUCCCUGCUGAACGAUAUCGCCAUACUGUCGGGUGAACACCAGACUUCCAAGGUGGAGGGGUUCCAUAGCCUUAUCAUACAGUUCGCACUGAAAACGUAUGUCUUUUCAUACAUCGGAAUGCUGUGCAGGAACUUGCUUGCUGGGCUGCACUGGAAUGAAAACUCGAGCUGCCCUAUAGCCACUACACAAGCGGGUGCUGAGCGCUAUGCAGUACGCUACCCGAAGUAUUAAGCACGGGCCAUGUGGUCAAGAAAAUCGCAACAGAGCCAACAUCCUGACGCCAGAGGCAGUGGACAGGGGGAUGGAAAAGUCUGAGCUUCCCUGCUUAAUCUGCUGCCCCAGUGACCAGACCUCGGAUAAGCGGAAGAAGAUGGAUGGAUGGAUGGAUGGUUUCACUCUCCAUGAGUUUAUUAUGUUGUGAGCAAUAAAAUGUACAAUUGUAUUUUGCAGGCCACGUAAAUGACUUGAUCAGGGAGGUUGUUGCUGGCUGCAGACAGAACCCUGACGAGAGAACACCAGUCAGCGUCAUCGUGGAUGUGACUCCCUUUCUCUGCAAUGAACUGGAGAAGCCAGACAAGGAGGAAGCCAUCGCCAAGCACAGUAGUCGCUUCGCUAAUCGUUAAGUACAGUGGCCAUGUGGAUUCUGUUACAGUCACUGCACUUCUUGGAACCCCGUGUAGUCCAUUGAUGGAAAUGUUCUAAUCUUAUGUACUACGUAAGCUGGUAGUGCCACCCUUAUCUCCUUUCCCAGAUAUCCCCAGCAGAAGCGGACAAACUCUCGAUAUGCUGUGUCAUCGCCUCCAAGUACAAAAUAGUUGAUAGCAUAUUAUGGCACCUGUUAUUAUCCAGACUUAGAUACACAGUGACUCACUGUUCUCUGAGAUGCAAAAGACAUUGUCAUGCAUUCUAUUCAUUUGUCAUUUAUUGUUGCAGUAAAUAGAAAAUAUUUUUGACAUCUACGGUCCAUGUAUGUAAUACUUCUAUGAUAUAUAAUGUCAUGUACAUUGUAGCAAAGUACAUUUCACAGAAUAAGAAUAAGAUAAGAAAGUGCUCAUUUUGACUUAUCUUCCAAAGGUUGAUAGAAUAAAGAAUUAUUUAAACUUAUUAGUGCCUCACUCAUUUUGUUGUUGCUGCAU